GCUCAGGAUGAACGCUGGCGGCGUGCCUAAUACAUGCAAGUCGAACGAGUUCUGAUUAUUGAAAGGUGCUUGCAUCUUGAUUUAAUUUUGAACGAGUGGCGGACGGGUGAGUAACACGUGGGUAACCUGCCCUUAAGUGGGGGAUAACAUUUGGAAACAGAUGCUAAUACCGCAUAAAUCCAAAAACCGCAUGGUUCUUGGCUGAAAGAUGGCGUAAGCUAUCGCUUUUGGAUGGACCCGCGGCGUAUUAGCUAGUUGGUGAGGUAACGGCUCACCAAGGCAAUGAUACGUAGCCGAACUGAGAGGUUGAUCGGCCACAUUGGGACUGAGACACGGCCCAAACUCCUACGGGAGGCAGCAGUAGGGAAUCUUCCACAAUGGACGCAAGUCUGAUGGAGCAACGCCGCGUGAGUGAAGAAGGCUUUCGGGUCGUAAAACUCUGUUGUUGGAGAAGAAUGGUCGGCAGAGUAACUGUUGUCGGCGUGACGGUAUCCAACCAGAAAGCCACGGCUAACUACGUGCCAGCAGCCGCGGUAAUACGUAGGUGGCAAGCGUUAUCCGGAUUUAUUGGGCGUAAAGCGAGCGCAGGCGGUUUUUUAAGUCUGAUGUGAAAGCCCUCGGCUUAACCGAGGAAGUGCAUCGGAAACUGGGAAACUUGAGUGCAGAAGAGGACAGUGGAACUCCAUGUGUAGCGGUGAAAUGCGUAGAUAUAUGGAAGAACACCAGUGGCGAAGGCGGCUGUCUGGUCUGUAACUGACGCUGAGGCUCGAAAGCAUGGGUAGCGAACAGGAUUAGAUACCCUGGUAGUCCAUGCCGUAAACGAUGAAUGCUAGGUGUUGGAGGGUUUCCGCCCUUCAGUGCCGCAGCUAACGCAUUAAGCAUUCCGCCUGGGGAGUACGACCGCAAGGUUGAAACUCAAAGGAAUUGACGGGGGCCCGCACAAGCGGUGGAGCAUGUGGUUUAAUUCGAAGCAACGCGAAGAACCUUACCAGGUCUUGACAUCUUUUGAUCACCUGAGAGAUCAGGUUUCCCCUUCGGGGGCAAAAUGACAGGUGGUGCAUGGUUGUCGUCAGCUCGUGCCGUGAGAUGUUGGGUUAAGUCCCGCAACGAGCGCAACCCUUAUGACUAGUUGCCAGCAUUUAGUUGGGCACUCUAGUAAGACUGCCGGUGACAAACCGGAGGAAGGUGGGGAUGACGUCAAAUCAUCAUGCCCCUUAUGACCUGGGCUACACACGUGCUACAAUGGAUGGUACAACGAGUUGCGAGACCGCGAGGUCAAGCUAAUCUCUUAAAGCCAUUCUCAGUUCGGACUGUAGGCUGCAACUCGCCUACACGAAGUCGGAAUCGCUAGUAAUCGCGGAUCAGCACGCCGCGGUGAAUACGUUCCCGGGCCUUGUACACACCGCCCGUCACACCAUGAGAGUUUGUAACACCCGAAGCCGGUGGCGUAACCCUUUUAGGGAGCGAGCCGUCUAAGGUGGGACAAAUGAUUAGGGUGA
rnacentral:rRNA from 1 species